rnacentral:rRNA from 1 species
AUUGAACGCUGGCGGCAUGUCUUACACAUGCAAGUCGAACGGCAGCACGGGUGCUUGCACCUGGUGGCGAGUGGCGAACGGGUGAGUAAUACAUCGGAACGUACCUUAUCGUGGGGGAUAACGCAGCGAAAGCUGUGCUAAUACCGCAUACGCCCUGAGGGGGAAAGCGGGGGAUCGAAAGACCUCGCGCGAUUAGAGCGGCCGAUGCCUGAUUAGCUUGUUGGUGGGGUAAAAGCCCACCAAGGCGACGAUCAGUAGCUGGUCUGAGAGGACGAUCAGCCACACUGGGACUGAGACACGGCCCAGACUCCUACGGGAGGCAGCAGUGGGGAAUUUUGGACAAUGGGGGCAACCCUGAUCCAGCAAUGCCGCGUGAGUGAAGAAGGCCUUCGGGUUGUAAAGCUCUUUUGUCAGGGAAGAAACAGCAGCUCUAACACAGUAUGCGAAUGACGGUACCUGAAGAAUAAGCACCGGCUAACUACGUGCCAGCAGCCGCGGUAA